GGGGUGUAGCUCAAUGGAUAGAGUAACGCACUACGAAUGCGCAGGUUGGGGGUUCGAGUCCCUCUACCCU
rnacentral:tRNA from 1 species